AUCUUCUGGUUUAUUGUGGGAAUACAAACAAGAUAAUGUCCUGUUCUGGCCCAGAUGUGAGUGACCAGAACAGCAUGGACUGUCCCCAGCUCUACAAACCGGGACAGCUGAAUCUGCUUUUUAACAAGCGUAAAUUUUUCAUUUGCGUGUUGCAUGGAAUCUACACCUCAUUAGUCCUUUUCUUCAUCCCCUAUGGGGCCUUUUACAACGUGGCUGGAGAAGAUGGGCAACAUAUUGCUGACUACCAGUCCUUUGCAGUUACCAUGGCCACAUCUUUGGUCAUUGUGGUCAGUGUGCAGAUAGCCUUGGAUACCAGUUACUGGACUUUCAUUAAUCACGUCUUCAUCUGGGGGAGCAUUGCCAUUUAUUUCUCCAUUUUAUUUACAAUGCACAGUAAUGGCAUCUUUGGCAUCUUCCCAAACCAGUUUCCAUUUGUUGGUAAUGCACGACAUUCCCUGACCCAGAAGUGCAUCUGGCUUGUAAUUCUCUUAACAACAGUGGCUUCGGUUAUGCCAGUGGUGGCAUUCAGAUUUUUGAAGGUGGAUUUAUACCCAACCCUGAGUGAUCAGAUCCGCCGGUGGCAGAAGGCUCAAAAGAAGGCAAGGCCUCCAAGUAGCCGAAGGCCUCGGACCCGCAGGUCAAGCUCAAGAAGGUCUGGAUAUGCUUUUGCUCACCAAGAAGGCUAUGGAGAGCUUAUCACAUCUGGAAAAAAUAUGCGAGCUAAAAAUCCACCCCCAACAUCAGGGCUGGAAAAGACACAUUAUAAUAGCACUAGCUGGAUUGAAAAUUUAUGUAAGAAAACCACAGACACAGUGAGCAGCUUUAGCCAGGAUAAAACAGUGAAACUGUGAGUCAAUAUGAAUUUAAACCACAUAGUUAUCUUUUCACUUCAGGUGGAGCUGAAAUUCUGCUGGCUCCAGAGUUUGAGAUUUGAGGCAAGAGGUGGGGCAGGCAGAUUGCCUCACUUAACUUAAAUCUGCGGCAGACAACUGCCAGUGCCCAUCAAACAGGAGUGUGCGCUAUGGAAAACCAGGCCAGAGGGUCACUGUCUAGUUUGUGAUUUGGUGGACAAAACACUCGCUGUUACAAGUACAGAUUUUUUUUUUUUAAUCAACCUAGAUACCAUUUGACCUGAACUUUAGAAUCUUAUUUAUGGAGAAAAACUUGUAAAGCUGCAUAUUCACUGAAUGGAUCCUCAGGCGGAUAAAAGGGUGCAUUUUAAAGGUAUAUAUCCAAGCUGAAAAGCAUGCCUAUUGACAGAUAAACAUGUAUCUGUAAGAUCAGCCUUUCCCAAGGUAUACUUUUACAAUUUAAAGCGUGUACUGUGUUGCUUUCAGACUGAGUUGCAUGUCACUCUUUAGUCUUGAUAUCUACCUGUCUGUUCAGCCAGGACAACAAAUGGCUUCCAAGCCUGAAGAAUACAAAAGUGUGCUUGUGUUUCUCAUUUUUAUACCAGUCUAGGGACAAAGGAGACUGAACAUCUUUGCAGCAGGAUAGGCUGGUAAUUUGAUCAAAUUUAUUCAAAAAGCUCUCAGUCUGUGUCAUGUAAGGACAUGCUUAUGAAAUGUGAGAGAGGCUCGCCACUAAGUAUUCUAAAUACUUUUCAAUGGCUUUUCUAACAACCUCAGUAGUAAUUUGCUGAGCAUCAUCCAGACCAUUAAUAGAAUCAGCAAAGCACUGGAAUUUCACACUUUAAUGAUAAUAUUCCAUAUAGUCUAUGGGCAAAUAUUUUCAACAUUUCCAAUUUUUAAAGCUUCAGAAUUGAAGCCAAACAAAUUAAUAAAUAAUUGUUUAAAUUACUAUUUAAAAACUCAGGUUUAGAUUGUUUAAAAUUAGUUGCUUUUGAUACUCAGCUGUCAUGUUUAUAAUUCAAACAUGUAGUAAACAUAUGUAGGUAAGGUUGUUUUUUUGGAGAUGUUGCAGCUCAAAUUUCAGUCCACAUAUGAAUCAUCAGUGUAUUUUCCAUAAAGUGAUUCGGGCAUAUUUGUGUGAAAACCUCAGUUCUGUCACUUCUUACCUCUAUAAACUUGGACGAUAAUGUGCCUUCUCUGAGACUCAGUUUCUUCCUCUGUAAAAUGAGGACAUACUACCUACCUCACGUGGUUGGUUGAUGAUUGUCUGUCAAAGCACAAACUCUGAAAUUAUUAAAAACAUAAUUAUUUCAUAAACAGAUGAGUUAAGUUCCAGUUAACUCAACAUCAGUAUAACAGAGCAAUUGGAAGAGAAUAUGAAAAAACUGGAAUCUAAAUAGUCAGUGAGGAAGGCUUUGAUAGAAUGAAAUUGCCAGAAAGAUAUAAAACUGGUUAGGGUCCUACAGGGAACUAAAAUUAUAACCGUGGAGGUACAUUUCUCUACCAGAAAGCAAAAAUAAAGCAUCAUGUCUUAAUGGUUUUCUACAAAUCAACUUCUAAUUCUACAGAGUCCUUAAUCUGGUCCCUAUUAAAUUCUUGGUCAGACAAAGUUACAUUUCCCAAGAGAGUCAGGUGACACUUGAGUGAGUUUGAUGGAUAAUGAGCUAAUGUGAUAUUUAUAGGUCACAAUUUUUUAAAACCAAAAUUUUCAAGUCUGGGAUAAUUUUUCCUAAAUGGGAUCAAAUGAAAUAAUAUGUGUAAAAGAGUCAAACGCAGUCCUUUACCAUAGUAACUGCCUAUGGACGUUGUCUUUCCCUUACAUGCCUGCCUACACUUAACCAGAUGUUGGUUUUCAAUGUCUAAUUUGUCAUUAGUUUCACCACAUUUGCUCACUUUUUGUAACAUUUUUGCAAGAUUUGAAAACUUUCAGUAAAUGUUUUGGCACUAUUGGUA
rnacentral:sRNA from 1 species